rnacentral:rRNA from 1 species
AUUGAACGCUGGCGGCAGGCCUAACACAUGCAAGUCGAACGAGUGGCGGACGGGUGAGUAAUGUCUGGGAAACUGCCCGAUGGAGGGGGCUAACUACUGGAAACGGUAGCUAAUACCGCAUACCAUCGGAUGUGCCCAGAUGGGAUUAGCUAGUAGGUGGGGUAACGGCUCACCUAGGCCACGAUCCCUAGCUGGUCUGAGAGGAUGACCAGCAACAAGGGAACGGAUACACGGUCCAGACUCCUACGGGAGGCAGCAGUGGGGAAGAUUGCACAAUGGGCGCAAGCAUGAUGAAGCCAUGCCGCGUGUAUGAAGAAGGCAUUCGGGUUGUAAAGUACUUUCAGCGAGGAGGCGUUACUCGCAGAAGAAGCACCGGCUAACUCCGUGCCAGCAGCCGCGGUAAUUC